rnacentral:rRNA from 1 species
AGAGCGAACGCUGGCGGCAGGCCUAACACAUGCAAGUCGAACGGACCCUUCGGGGUUAGUGGCGGACGGGUGAGUAACACGUGGGAACGUGCCUUUAGGUUCGGAAUAGCUCCUGGAAACGGGUGGUAAUGCCGAAUGUGCCCUUCGGGGGAAAGAUUUAUCGCCUUUAGAGCGGCCCGCGUCUGAUUAGCUAGUUGGUGAGGUAAAGGCUCACCAAGGCUACGAUCAGUAGCUGGUCUGAGAGGAUGACCAGCCACAUUGGGACUGAGACACGGCCCAAACUCCUACGGGAGGCAGCAGUGGGAAUCUUGCGCAACGGGCGAAGCCUGACGCAGCCAUGCCGCGUGAAUGAUGAAGGUCUUAGGAUUAGUAAAAUUCUUACAGUAGGAACGAAUAAUAGACGGUACCUACAGAAGAACGCCCCGG